rnacentral:rRNA from 1 species
UNUUNAAUANCCCUUUGGUNGNNGANUNNGUUGCNUCNGGGCGACCCUGCUUUCGGCGGGGGCUCCGGGGUGACACUUCAAACUCUGGGGUAACUUGCCAGUCUGAGUAAACUUAAUUAGUAAACUAAAACUUUUAACAACGGAUCUCUUGGUUCUGGCAUCGAUGAAGAACGCUAGCGAAAUGCGAUAAGUAAUGUGAAUUGCAGAAUUCAGUGAAUCAUCGAAUCUUUGAACGCACAUUGCGCCCCCUGGUAUUCCGGGGGGCAUGCCUGUUCGAGCGUCAUUUCACCACUCAAGCCUCGCUUGGUAUUGGGCAACGCGGUCCGCCGCGUGCCUCAAAUCGUCCGGCUGGGUCUUCUGUCCCCCUAAGCGUUGCAGGAAACUAUUCAGCUAAAGGGUGUUCGGGAGGCUACGCCGUAAAACAACCCCAUUUCUAAGGUUGACCUCGGAUCAGGUAAGAAUACCCGCUGAACUUAA